rnacentral:rRNA from 1 species
GACGAACGCUGGCGGCGUGCCUUAUACAUGCAAGUAGAACGCAGUUGCGAACGGGUGAGUAACGCGUAGGUAACUGCCUCAUAGCGGGGGAUAACUAUUGGAAACGAUAUCUAAUACCGCAUACUGUGAGAUGGACCUUCGUUGUAUUAGCUAGUUGGUGAGGUAAAGGCUCACCAAGGCGACGGUACAUAGCCGACCUGAGAGGGUGAUCUGCCACACUGGGACUGGGACAAGGGCCAGAAGCCUACGGGAGGCAGCAGGAGGGGAUCUUUGGCAAAGGACGGAAGUCUGACCGAGCAAAGGCGCGGGAGUGAAGAAGGGUUUCGGAGCGUAAAGCUCUGUUGUUAGAGAAGCGGUAACUAAAGAGAAAGCGACGGCUAACUACGUGCCAGCAGCCGCGGUAAUUC